rnacentral:rRNA from 1 species
CCCUUAGACGUUCUGGGCCGCACGCGCGCUACACUGACCAGUGCAACAAGCAUCCGUCCUUGGCCGACAGGCUCGGGCAAUCUUUGAACGCUGGUCGUGAUGGGGAUAGACUUUUGCAAUUUUUGGUCUUCAACGGGGAAUUCCUAGUAAACGCAAGUCAUCAACUUGCAUUGAUUACGUCCCUGCCCUUUGUACACACCGCCCGUCGCACCUACCGAUUGAAUGGUCCGGUGAAGCCUCCGGAUUGGCGCGCACCUCGGUGCCGCCGAGAAGUUGGCUAAACCUUACCAUUUAGAGGAAGGUGAAGUCGUANCA